rnacentral:rRNA from 1 species
AUGUAUAAUGGGCCAGGUCUUGACUUUGAAUCAUAUCAAGAACCAAAGCUUGUUACAAAAUGUAUACAAGCAGAUCCAUAUGAUUGUAUAUAUCAUAAUGUGCCCAGUGGUCAUCAUUUUCUAGAGCGAGUGCCCAACUAUAGACAUUGUAAUGCGAAAAGGUUCCCAUAUGAGACACCAACUUUUUGUUGCAUGAAUGGAAAGGUGAAGAUAGUAACCCCAGUGGUUCCUGACGAAUUGCGUAAGUUGUACACGAGUCAGGAUCCAGAUGCAAAAUACUUCCAAGAUCAUAUACGGUACUUCAAUUCUCAUUUCUCUUUUACCUCUAUUGGUGUCAUCUUGGACCAAAGGUUCUGCAAUAGGAGGUCUGGAGUUUACACCUUUCGUGCACAGGGCCAAAUUUAUCACCGUAUUGACCAGUUGGUUCCAAAAGAAAAUGGCCCCAAGCAUUUACAGUUAUACUUCUAUGACACGGAUGCAGAUUUGCAACAAAGAUUUCUUCACUCGCCUAACUUAAACCAAAUUCUCAUCCGGAAGUUGGUAAAUAUACUUUCAAGUAACCCUUAUUUACAAAUAUUUAGAAACCUUGGUUCUAUUCCAAACCUUGAUGAAUAUAUGAUUGAGCUCAACACAGAUAUUGCCUUAGAUCAGAGAGUAUAUAAUGCUCCAACAACAUCACAAGUAGCAGCAAUCUGGGUUGAGGGAAAUAAUCCUCGAGGUUAUUUUGACAGGAGUAUCAUGGUGUAUGGUAAAUCGGACAAACCACAGUACAUAAAAGCAUACCAUGGUUGCUAUGACCCAUUGUCAUAUCCGCUUUUUUUCCCGAAAGGGGAAGUUGGAUGGAACUUGAAUUUACCAAAAGUUGGUCCUCAUGCUAGGAGGAAGAGAGAUGAUCAAGCAAAUGCUCUCAACGAAGAAGGGAUGGAAAAGAGCCCUGGUUCUUGUGUGUCACCAAGAGAAUAUUAUUGUUAUAAGUUACAAAUUCGAGAUGGUGAUUUCAAC